AUAGAAUUAGUUUAAAAUUAAAACAUUAAAAUGUCAAUUUAAAAUUAUUAAUAAUAUAAAUAAUAUUCUAUU
rnacentral:tRNA from 1 species